rnacentral:misc_RNA from 1 species
GAGGUGGCCGCGGCCGGAGCGCCGAAGAAGAGGACGUUCCGCAAGUACAGCUACCGCGGCGUGGACCUCGACGCGCUCCUCGACAUGUCCACCGACGACCUCGUCCAGCUCUUCCCCGCGCGCGCCCGCAGAAGGUUCCAGAGGGGCCUGAAGAGGAAGCCCAUGGCGCUCAUCAAGAAGCUCCGCAAGGCGAAAAAGGAUGC